UUAGCCUACGGGGGGCAGCAGUGGGGAAUAUUGGGCAAUGGGCGCAGGCCUGACCCAGCAACGCCGCGUGAAGGAAGAAGGCUUUCGGGUUGUAAACUUCUUUUCUCAGGGACGAAUAGAUGACGGUACCUGAGGAAUAAGCCACGGCUAACUACGUGCCAGCAGCCGCGGUAAUACGUAGGUGGCAAGCGUUAUCCGGAUUUACUGGGUGUAAAGGGCGUGUAGGCGGGG
rnacentral:rRNA from 1 species